CCCCCCCCCUCCUUGGGGGGCAUUUUUGGGUAACUGCAGCCCCCCCCUAUAGAUGGCACUGCCCCAUUCGGAGCCCCCCCCGCACCCCCACCCCCCCCGGCGCCGCUUUUCCCUUUGGGUUUUCCAGUUGUGCCUUAACCGGGGAGCAGCGCUCAGUGGGACACCAAUGGGACCCCCCGUGUGACACCGAGGGGACACCAAUGGGACCCCAAUGGGACACCGGGACCCCCAGUGUGACACCAAUGGGACCCCAGUGAGACCCCCUGUGUGACACCAAGGGGACACCAAUGGGACACCAACGGGACCCCAGUGAGACCCCCAGUGUGACACCAAUGGGACCCCAAUGGGACCCCCCGUGUGACUCCAAUGGGACACCAACGGGACACCAAUGGGACACCGGGACCGCCAGUGUGAUACCAGUGGGACCCCAGUGAGACCCCCAGUGUGACACCGAGGGGACACCGAGGGGACCCCAAUGGGACCCCAGUGUGACUCCAAGGGGACACCAAUGGUUCCCCCAGUGUGACACCGAGGAGACACCAAUGGAACACCAAGAAGACACCAAUGGGACCCCCAGUGUGACACCAGUGGGACACCAAUGGGACACCAAUGGGACACCAAUGGGACACUGGGACCCAAAGUGUGACACCGAGAGGACCCCCAGUGUGACACCAAUGGGACACCAAUGGGACACUGAGGGGACACCAAUGGGACCCACAGCGCCCCAAUGUGACACUGAGGGGACAGUGGGACCCCCAGCACUUUGAGGUGACCCCAAAGGGACCCCCAAUGUGACACUGAGGGGACACCAAUGGGACCCACUGUGCCCCAAUGUGACACUGGGGGAGCAGUGGGACCCCCGGCACUCUGAUGUGACCCCGAGGGGACCCCCAGUGUGACACUGAGGGGACCCACUGUGCCUCAAUGUGACCCCGAGGGGACCCCCAAUGUGACACUGUGGGGACAGUGGGACCCCCCAGCAGUUCGCGGUGACCCCGAGGGGACCCCCAAUGUGACACUGAGGGGACAGCGGGACCCACAGCGCCCCAAUGUGACACUGGGGGGACAGUGGGACCCCCACCACUCUGAUGUGACACUGAGGGGACCCCCAGUGUGACACUGAGGGGACAGUGGGACCCCCCACCACUUCGAGGUGACCCGGAGGGGACCCCCACCACUCUGAUGUGACCCCGAGGGGACCCCCGAUGUGACACUGAGGGGACAGUGGGACCCCCAGCACUCUGAUGUGACCCCGAGUGGCCCCACACGGCUCCAUGGGACCCCACUGUGGGGCAGUGGUGGUUAUGCGGGGGGGUCGGGGGCUGCUGCCCCCCCCCACAGCCGCCCCCUGCAGAGCUGUCCCCCCCCCC
rnacentral:lncRNA from 1 species